rnacentral:rRNA from 1 species
GAGUUUGAUCGUGGCUCAGAGUGAACGCUGGCGGCAGGCCUAACACAUGCAAGUCGAGCGGCAGCGCGGGGCAACCUGGCGGCGAGCGGCGGACGGGUGAGGAACACAUCGGAAUCUACCCAGUCGUGGGGGAUAACGUAGGGAAACUUACGCUAAUACCGCAUACGACCUGAGGGUGAAAGCAGGGGACCGCAAGGCCUUGCGCGAUUGGAUGAGCCGAUGUCCGAUUAGCUGGUUGGUGAGGUAAAGGCUCACCAAGGCGACGAUCGGUAGCUGGUCUGAGAGGAUGAUCAGCCACACUGGAACUGAGACACGGUCCAGACUCCUACGGGAGGCAGCAGUGGGGAAUAUUGGGACAAUGGGCGCAAGCCUGAUCCAGCCAUGCCGCGUGUGUGAAGAA